GAACCAUGGGAAAUAAUAAAUAGUCGUGAAAAUGGGCCAUAUGCUGUGAAGACCCUAUUGGGAUGGGUUGUUAAUGGUCCUCUAGAUGACAGUGUCGUGACAGACAGCAGUGGGCAUCAGAAAGUUACUGUCAACAGAACAUCAGUUGCAAAGCUGGAAGAUUUGAUUGUACAACAGUACAAUCAUCAGUUCAAUGAGAAAUUAGAUGACAAAGAAAUGUCAAUAGAGGAUAAAAGAUUGAUCAAAAUUGCAGAGCAGCGCCUAAUAGGCCUGAAAAGGAAGUUAAAAAGAAAUGAAACAUUCAGAAAUGAGUACACAGAGUUUAUGGAGGAUGUGAUCAGCAAUGGACAUGCUGAAGUGGUGCCACAAGUUGAACUUGAAAGAGAAGACGGCAAGUCUCUUGAAACAGAAAAUGAAGCCGUCGACCUGGUGAGAGACCUUACCUGUGUUUGCCACAAGGGAGGAUUCCAUCUAACCAAAUGGGAAAGACAAAAAUGGACUACAGUCAGGAAAGGAUACCAAGUAGAUGACAUUGUGAUGGUAGUGGACAGUUCAGCCCCUCGUGGGUCUUGGAACCUUGGAAGAAUAAUAGAAGUCAAACCAGAUUCCAGAGGUUUGAUGAGGACAGUGAAAAUUAUUACGAAGACUGGCGUGUUUGAGAGGCCAAUAACCAAGCUCUGUCUGCUUCUGGAAGGAGCAGAAAAGAUGACCACAAAGUCAUCGGCCAGAGAUAAGUAGUACCUACUCAUGUUAUGAUUUAAGUUAAUGGUAACAAUAAACUACAAAGAAUUUAGGCUCCUUUAUGAUUUGAGUAUUGUAAUAGUUGCCCAUGCACACUAUUAGGGCCGGUGUGUAGGAGCCAUGUGAGACCUUUUGAGUAUUCAGUUUGAUAUUUUAGUUUGUGUGACAAAAUUAUUAUUAGUGAACUUAUUUGUAUUGAAUUGUCCCAAAUUAGGAAAUUGUAAUUUGUUUCUGAGUGUGUGCCCC
ensembl:lncRNA